AUUGAACGCUGGCGGCAGGCCUAACACAUGCAAGUCGAACGAGUGGCGGACGGGUGAGUAAUGUCUGGGAAACUGCCUGAUGGAGGGGGAUAACUACUGGACACGGUAUCUAAUACCGCAUACCCUCCUAUGUGCCCAGAUGGGAUUAGCUAGUAUGUGGGGGAAAGGCUCACCUAGGCGACUAUCCCUAGCUGGUCUGAGAGGAUGACCAGCAACACUGGAAUUGAGACACGGUCCAGACUCCUACGGGAGGCAGCAGUGGGGAAUAUUGCACAAUGGGCGAAAGCCUGAGGCAGCCAUGCCGCGGGUAUGAAGAAGGCCUUCGGGUUGUAAAGUACUUUCAGCGGGGAGGCGUUACCCGCAGAAGAAGCAACGGCUAACUCCGUGCCAGCAGCCGCGGUAAUUC
rnacentral:rRNA from 1 species